rnacentral:rRNA from 1 species
CCUACGGGAGGCAGCAGUAGGGAAUCUUCCACAAUGGACGAAAGUCUGAUGGAGCAACGCCGCGUGAGCGAUGAAGGCCUUCGGGUCGUAAAGCUCUGUUGUUAGGGAAGAACAAGUAUCGGAGUAACUGCCGGUACCUUGACGGUACCUAACCAGAAAGCCACGGCUAACUACGUGCCAGCAGCCGCGGUAAUACGUAGGUGGCAAGCGUUGUCCGGAAUUAUUGGGCGUAAAGCGCGCGCAGGCGGUCCUUUAAGUCUGAUGUGAAAGCCCACGGCUCAACCGUGGAGGGUCAUUGGAAACUGGAGGACUUGAGUACAGAAGAGGAAAGUGGAAUUCCACGUGUAGCGGUGAAAUGCGUAGAGAUGUGGAGGAACACCAGUGGCGAAGGCGGCUCUCUGGUCUGUAACUGACGCUGAGGCGCGAAAGCGUGGGGAGCGAACAGGAUUAGAUACCCUGGUAGUCCACGCCGUAAACGAUGAGUGCUAAGUGUUAGAGGGUUUCCGCCCUUUAGUGCUGCAGCAAACGCAUUAAGCACUCCGCCUGGGGAGUACGGCCGCAAGGCUGAAACUCAAAGGAAUUGACGG